rnacentral:lncRNA from 1 species
CCGCGCAUACGCAGUACUAUUUUUCACCACAAGAGGGCGCCGGAUCAUACAGCUGUCCUGACGAGGGGACAAGCCUGUGCAUGCGCGAGAUGAGAGAACAUAUUCUCCAACUGGAAACAAAAAUCCUCAAAUGCAUUCCAAGUGUAAACACAAGGGACAGAGCUCUGAGACCACGGAGGAUUAAAAGAAGAGACCUGUUCAUCUGAAAACACCUUCCUAUUCUCAGUCUGUGCUUCAGCCCCUGCGACCGCAAAAAAGAACAGGUGCCCCCAUUCCAUAAAUGGAACAUAGGAAAUCCAUGUUUAAAUUUCAACAUGAAAAUAUAUUGCUCACCCAAAGUAAAGUGCAGCAUUUAGGAUGUUCUGCUCGGACCCUUCUGUGUCAACCUUUAUUGACUUGAAAUCUAAGAGGCAAAUAAAGAGGCAAUAGGAUCCCCCAUGGUAAGUCAACUGUGGCUCAAGGUCUUCCUAGCAGCUUUCCAUAAUCCAGAGACAACAAAGAUCACAAAACGUACUUGGAAACGCAAAAAAACUGUAUUUAACUAAAUCAACUGAACUAAAUAAACUCUUAGUAGAUGAAAAACUCAAUUAAAUACAGAGAAUUAUGAAAACCUUUGCCACAUGAAAAGCCAGUGUGUUCUACUUGCUUGCUUUAAGUCAGAGUCUGCAUGUUAACAGGU